rnacentral:rRNA from 1 species
UACGAAGGGGGCUAGCGUUGCUCGGAAUUACUGGGCGUAAAGCGCACGUAGGCGGCUUUCUAAGUCGGGAGGUGAAAUCCUGGACGCUCAACUCCAGAACUGCCUUGAUACUGAAGCUGAGUCGGGAGAGGUGAGUGGAACUGCGAGUGUAGAGGUGAAAUUCGUAGAUAUUCGCAAGAACACCAGUGGCGAAGGCGGCUCACUGGCCCGAUACUGACGCUGAGGUGCGAAAGCGUGGGGAGCAACAGG